GGCCCACGUAUAAGUCUAACCUAAGUGCUCUCUCGCUCUCUGUUCGACUUCACGAUUGGAUCCAGGGCGACGAGCACGCCGCCGAUGCCGUCGCCAGGACUGACUCGUCGCCGCCGCACUGUCAACUCGCCAAGUGACCUCUUCUCCGCCGCUAUGGCAAGAAUGAGAGGGAAAUACUCAAAUCACCAUGUAAUCUGCGGGAGAUGGCAUGACAGCAAGCUAAUGGACGAGGAUCGAGGACAUCGAUGACCAUUCACGACAUGAAAAGAUGCAUGAGGCAACCAAUGGGCAUCAUUUUGUUCUCAUCUCACGCAUUAUAUUAUGCAAGGUGAAGGGAGUCAGAUGCAGGCCUCUGGAUAAAAAGAACCUGGCAGGGUCCAAUGAUGUUAUGUGCAAAUUGCAAAACAACUGCAGUGCAAAUGGGCAAUACCUUAGUCUUUUAAUUACUUGUCUUGUCAAGACAAGUAAUUUGAGACGGAGGUAAUAUAUUUUUUUCUGUUGGACAGCAAGAGAGUAGAGUGGAGAAGGAUCAGAUGUUUGUUGAAUGCACUAAUUUUCUCUCAUAGCAAUAUCUGACCGACCGUCCUCUUGUAAUGCAAUGACUUCUAACAGUGAUGCCCAACAUGAGAAAUGGUCAACGUGAGUCAUCAUAGACCAGUCCUUGUCUCGGUGACCAACUCCAAGGCGGCC